CUCCCUGCACCCCAGUGCCUGCUAUUCAGCCUCGGCUCGGCCCGGCAGUGCCAGCAGCGCUCCCCUUCUCCCCCACGCCUGGUGGCUUUGGGAGAGCGGAGAAAGACGAGCUGCUUUUGCGUUCACCGGUACACCCCCAAGUGGACAGCGAGGAAAGGGGAGAGAUGGCACGGACAAGUUUUGGAUAGCUCGCAGAGGUGUAGGCUCAGCUGUCUGGCUCUGGAGGGAUGUGCUCACCGAGGUCUUGGAAGCGUUCUGACUGGGGCUGCUGCCUGUCAAAGCCGACACUGCCAUUUCCUGGGGUAUCAAUUCUCCUCUUACCCCAUGUACAACCUAUGUGCUGGAAAAAAUCCUCCUUCCCUGUCAGAAAUAGCCACUUCACAGCAAGGAAGGAAGUCAGCUGGAAGGUGCUGGUGUUGGAUUCACAGUCCAGACUUCAGAGAGUAAAAUGGGAUUCGUGUCUCCCUUCAGUCCCUCUGGGCUCUGCUUUGCCAGCUCUGACAAUCCAGUCACAGUGCAAGCUGACCCGCGGUG